rnacentral:rRNA from 1 species
UAAAAUGAGAGUUUGAUCCUGGCUCAGGACGAACGCUGGCGGCGUGCCUAAUACAUGCAAGUCGAACGAAACUUUCUUACACCGAAUGCUUGCAUUCAUCGUAAGAAGUUGAGUGGCGGACGGGUGAGUAACACGUGGGUAACCUGCCUAAAAGAAGGGGAUAACACUUGGAAACAGGUGCUAAUACCGUAUAUCUCUAAGGAUCGCAUGAUCCUUAGAUGAAAGA